AAGACUAUAGACCUGCGGAGUACCUGCGGAGGGAUCAUUACCGAGUUUUCAACUCCCUAACCCUUCUGUGAACCUACCUAUCGUUGCUUCGGCGGACUCGCCCCAGCCCGGACGCGGACUGGACCAGCGGCCCGCCGGGGACCUCAAACUCUUGUAUUCCAGCAUCUUCUGAAUACGCCGCAAGGCAAAACAAAUGAAUCAAAACUUUUAACAAUGGAUCUCUAGAUCGGAAGAGCACAC
rnacentral:misc_RNA from 1 species